rnacentral:rRNA from 1 species
UACAGAGGGUGCAAGCGUUAAUCGGAUUUACUGGGCGUAAAGCGCGCGUAGGCGGCUAAUUAAGUCAAAAUGUGAAAUCCCCGAGCUUAACUUGGGAAUUGCAUUCGAUACUGGUUAGCUAGAGUGUGGGAGAGGAUGGUAGAAUUCCAGGUGUAGCGGUGAAAUGCGUAGAGAUCUGGAGGAAUACCGAUGGCGAAGGCAGCCAUCUGGCCUAACACUGACGCUGAGGUGCGAAAAGCAUGGGGAGGCGAACAGG